rnacentral:misc_RNA from 1 species
UUCCUCUAUUUCACUAAAAUAGAGGAACUAACUAGUGUGUUUUUCUAAAUACAGGAACUAACUAAUUAAUUUCACAAAAAUAAAGGGAUUAAAUAGUAGUUUGAUUAGCAUUGACUAAGGAAAAAUUAACGGAAGGACUAAACAGUUUAACGGAAGUAAAAUAUAGGGACUAAAAGAUAUAUUUUUCAAAAUACAAGAUCAAGUAAUUAGUUUCGUUAAAAUACAAGGACGAAAUAAUAAUUUUCCUAAUUACAAAAUCACCACUUUGACCUUAUUGGCAUGAAAUGAAACACCACCUUGCAGCAGAUC